rnacentral:tRNA from 1 species
GUCGGGAUAGCUCAGCUGGUAGAGCAGAGGACUGAAAAUCCUCGUGUCGCCAGUUCGAAUCUGGUUCCUGACA